UACAGAGGAUGCAAGCGUUAUCCGGAAUGAUUGGGCGUAAAGCGUCUGUAGGUGGCUUUUUAAGUCCGCCGUCAAAUCCCAGGGCUCAACUCUGGACAGGCGGUGGAAACUACCAAGCUGGAGUACGGUAGGGGCAGAGGGAAUUUCCGGUGGAGCGGUGAAAUGCGUAGAUAUCAGGAGGAACACCUGCGGUGUAGACGGCUUACUGGACCAUAACUGACGCUGAGGCACGAAAGCGUGGGUAGCAAACAGG
rnacentral:rRNA from 1 species